UGUUUAAUAAACACAUUAUCUAUUUUUAUGAGCUACCAGUAGUUUCAUGCAAUGAAAAACAACACAGACAACAUUUUUAACAUGUUUGGUGUCUUUAUGUAGAUUGCUUGAAGGUAGCAGACGUGUUAUAAAACAAUGUAUUGUUUGCAUUGGAUGAAACUAUUGGUAGCUCAUAAAAAUAUUUUCUGUGUUCAUUAAACAAUGUUUACCUCUUACCAUUUUUUAUCUUUUACUUGUUUCAGUCAAUUGACUGUGGCCCUGCUGGAGCACUGCCUUGAAGAGUUUUUAGUCGAACAAAUCAGUUCCAAGACUUUAUUGUCUUUAAACUUAGUACUUAUUCUGUCAGUCACUUUUGUUGAACCACUAAGUUAUGGAGAUGUAAACAAACCAACAUCAGUUUUUAAGCAGCAGUGGGGGACAUGAACACACACACAUGAUGGGAUUCUUUCAGUUUCUGUCUACCAAAUCUACUCACAGUGCUUUGGUUGGCCCAAGGCUAUAGUAGAAGACACUUGCUGAAAGUGCCACACUGUAGAACUGAACCCAGAGCGAUGUGGUUGGGAAGUAAACUUCUUACCACACAGCUACACAUAAUAAUCACUCUCUUCUCUCUUUCUCCCUCUAUCUAUCACUCAUAUAUCAUCAUCAUUUAAUGUCUGUUGUCCAUGCGUUAGUUUGAUUAAAACUGGCAAGCUGGAGAGCUGCGCCAGGCUCCAGUCCGACUUGGCAUGAAUUCUAUGGCUGGAUGCCCUUCCUAACUUCAACCUCUCUGAGAGUUUAAUGGGCCACCAGCACAGGUGUCAUUUGUGUGACACCAGUAUCUUCCAUGACUGUGAUUUUGCUCGGUUUGAUUGGACUUCUCAAGCACGACAUAAUGCCAGAGGUCUCAGCCAUUGCCUCCUUGAGGACCAACACUCGAGAAGAGCUCAGCCACUUUGCCUCUAUGAGGCCCAACACUCAGAAGAUACUUUUUAUAUGCCGCUGGCACAAGUGCCACUUACAUGACACCAGCAUCAGCCAUGACUACGAUUUCACUUGGCUUGACCAAUCUUAUCAAGCACAGCACAUCACAAAAAGUCUUGGUCACUAAUCAUUUCCUCUGUGAGACCCAAAGUUCGAAGAUUAUGCUUCCCCACCUCAUCUCAUGUUUUCCUGGGUCCACCUCUACUACAGGUACCCUCCACAGUUAGAGAUCAGCACUUCUAUACACAGCUGUCCUCGUCCAUAUGCAUCAAAUGACCACACCAACGCAGUUGUCUCUCUUGCACACCACUGAUAGUUCUUAUGCCUAACUUUUCUCUCAAGGUGCUUAAACUCUGUUGAACAUGCACACUGACAUUACACAUCCCACAAAACAUACUGAUUUCAUUUCUGUUUAAGCCUAAACAUGUCCUCAGCUAUCACAGCCCAUGUUUUGCUGCCAUGUAGCAUGGCUGUUUGCACACAAGCAUCAUACAAUCUGCCUUUCACCCUGAGAGAGAGGCCCUUUGUUGCCUGCUGGGGUAGGAGCUCUCUGAACUUUGCCCAGCCUAAUCUUAUUCCCACAUCUAUGCUCUCAGAGCAUCCACCUCUGCUACUAAUUUAGUUACCUAGAUAAUGGAAGCUAUCUUGUACCUCAAGCCUACCCCGCUGGCAGUUGAAGGAGUCUAUUUUCUGUACAUUUUCAGUGUUUAUUGUACCUGUGCAUCUUCCACAUACAAGUGCUAUUUUCCCUGUUAACCUCCCUGAUAUUGUUGCACCUCUUAUGUGUCCACAGCUUACACCAGGUACAUCUUAUGGAGUUUCUACCUAUGCCUUUUCUACAGAUCGAGCAGAGCCAUCUACCUGAAGAGAUUUGUGAUUUGUCCACUUUCUACUUACUAAGACUUCAGUUUUUGCUAAGGUCCUUUGAUCUUAGACCUUGCUUCCAUACUUGAAACUUCUCUAGUUCUGGUAGUGACUCAGCUACAAGAACAAAGUCAUUAGCAUAGAGGAGCUCCCAGGAGCAGCUAUCUUAAAUUCCUGUCAUUGCUUGGAGGACUAUGAUGAACAAGAGGGGGCUGAGGACCAAUCCUUGAUGAACCCCCUACUUGUACCCUGAAUUCUUUGCUGUACUUGUUGCCAACCCUCACCUUACUGACAGCGUCCCUGUACAUGGGUUGUACAGCUCUCACCAACCACUCAUCUAUCCCUAGUUUCUGCAUUGACCACCAGAUAAGGAACCGAGAGACCCCAUCAAAGGCUUUCUCCAAGUCAACAAAAGCCAAGUACAGAGGUUUAUCUUUGGCUAGGUAGUUCUCCUGCAGCUGUCUUACCAGAAAUAUAGCAUCAGUGGUGCUUCUCCCUGGCGCAAAACCAAACUGCAUCUCAUCUAGACUAACUCUCUCCCUAAUUAAAUGGGCUAUAACCCUUUCCGUGACUUUCAUCACCUGAUCCAACAAUCUGAUACCUCUGUAAUUAUUUCUAUCUAAGGCAUUACCUUUAUCUCUGUACCAGUUGACUAUGGGACUGCUACACCAGUCAUUGAAUAAGACUCCCUUGUGUACAAUCUGAUUUACAAUAUGAGUGACUAGACCAUGAUUCACUCCGGCAGAUAUUUCAAGCAUCUCAGCAGUGAUUCCUGAUGGGCCGAUGCUUUCAUAUAUAUCAUAUAUACAUGAUAGAUCGCUAGCCACUACACAUUUUUUAUUUUCUUUCCUUGUUUCUUUCUGUGGAAGAGCGUAGGCUUGAAACGUUAAAGACUUUUCCACUUCCUGAGCAUUAAACUAAUACAUCUGUUUGUUGUCUACAC
rnacentral:lncRNA from 1 species